rnacentral:rRNA from 1 species
GGGUUGUGAGGUUAAGCGACUAAGCGUACACGGUGGAUGCCCUGGCAGUCAGAGGCGAUGAAGGACGUGCUAAUCUGCGAUAAGCGUCGGUAAGGUGAUAUGAACCGUUAUAACCGGCGAUUUCCGAAUGGGGAAACCCAGUGUGAUUCGUCACACUAUCAUUAACUGAAUCCAUAGGUUAAUGAGGCGAACCGGGGGAACUGAAACAUCUAAGUACCCCGAGGAAAAGAAAUCAACCGAGAUUCCCCCAGUAGCGGCGAGCGAACGGGGAGCAGCCCAGAGCCUGAAUCAGUGUGUGUGUUAGUGGAAGCGUCUGGAAAGGCGUGCGAUACAGGGUGACAGCCCCGUACACAAAAAUGCACAUAUUGUGAGCUCGAUGAGUAGGGCGGGACACGUGGUAUCCUGUCUGAAUAUGGGGGGACCAUCCUCCAAGGCUAAAUACUCCUGACUGACCGAUAGUGAACCAGUACCGUGAGGGAAAGGCGAAAAGAACCCCGGCGAGGGGAGUGAAAAAGAACCUGAAACCGUGUACGUACAAGCAGUGGGAGCACGCUUAGGCGUGUGACUGCGUACCUUUUGUAUAAUGGGUCAGCGACUUAUAUUCUGUAGCAAGGUUAACCGAAUAGGGGAGCCGAAGGGA